rnacentral:rRNA from 1 species
UACGUAGGUGGCGAGCGUUGUCCGGAUUUACUGGGCGUAAAGAGCGCGCAGGCGGUCGUUCAAGUCGCGUGUGAAAGCCCCCGGCUCAACUGGGGAGGGUCACGCGAUACUGCGGGGCUAGAGUGCAGAAGGGGCAACUGGAAUUCUCGGUGUAGCGGUGAAAUGCGUAGAUAUCGAGAGGAACACCUGCGGCGAAGGCGGGUUGCUGGGCUGACACUGACGCUGAAGCGCGAAAGCUAGGGGAGCGAACGGG